GCGCAUGAGAGCGGUGCUGCCUAACAACCACUGGGGCACCGAGGGAGGUUACUUUAAUACUCUUGGACAUGGAGAAAAAGGAGUAAAAAAAAAGAGACGGAAAAUGACAA
rnacentral:ribozyme from 1 species